rnacentral:rRNA from 1 species
UGUGCCAGCAGCCGCGGUAAUUCCAGCUCCAAUAGCGUAUAUUAAAGUUGUUGUGGUUAAAAAGCUCGUAGUUGGAUCUCAACAGCCUUGAAGCGGUUAACUUUGUAGUUUUACUGCUUUAUAGGCUGUGCUUUUGCUGGAGGUUUAGGGGUGCUCUUGAUCGAGUGUCUCUGGAUGCCAGCAGGUUUACUUUGAAAAAAUUAGAGUGCUCAAAGCAGGCUAAAAUGCCUGAAUAUUCGUGCAUGGAAUAAUAGAAUAGGAUGUCGAUCCUAUUUUGUUGGUUUUCGGGACUCGACAUAAUGAUAAAUAGGGACAGUCGGGGGCAUUUGUAUUCAAACGACAGAGGUGAAAUUCUUGGACCGUUUGAAGACAAACUACUGCGAAAGCAUUUGCCAAGAAUGUUUUCAUUAAUCAAGAACGAAAGUUAGAGGUUCGAAGGCGAUUAGAUACCGCCCUAGUUCUAACCAUAAACGAUGCCAGCUAGCGAUCUGCCUGCGUUUUUACUGUAGACUGGGCAGGAAGCUUCCGGGAAACCAAAGCAUUUGGGUUCCAGGGGAAGUAUGGUUGCAAAGCUGAAACUUAAAGGAAUUGACGGAAGGGCACCACCAGGAGUGGAGCCUGUGGCUUAAUUUGACUCAACACGGGAAAUCUCACCAGGCCCGGACACUGGAAGGAUUGACAGAUUGAUAGCUCUUUCUUGAUUCGGUGGGUGGUGGUGCAUGGCCGUUCUUAGUUGGUGGAGUGAUUUGUCUGGUUAAUUCCGAUAACGAACGAGACUCUGUCCUGCUAAAUAGUUUCUACUUCUCUUUUGAGUAGAAAUUUCUUCUUAGAGGGACUGGUGACUCUUAGUCACACGAGAUUGAGCAAUAACAGGUCUGUGAUGCCCAAGG